rnacentral:lncRNA from 1 species
ACUUUGCACAUUCUGUACAUAUUGCUUGAUCAUAAAACAAGGAGAACAAUUUCAAGCUCUAUCUUGUCAUCUUAGCCCCUCGUCCGCAGGCCUAAAAUAAUGGCCUGUGUUUACCGAGAGGCUAUUGUCAUCUGUACAUACACUCAAAUUAACGUUCAUUUAACGUUGCACCAAGCUACCAACGACUGCUUGCAAGAACUUCCCACGAUUUCACCAAAAUAACGCCAAUAAUACAAUUGCAACUGUACAUGGAACACGUUCGGUUAAAAAUGCUUAUUUGCACAAGUCAUGCACAAUAGAAUAAAGAAAGCCUAGUUCUACUUGGUCGCAGUUGCAAAGUUGUGAAAAAUCUUGCUCUGUGUACUGUAUCAAUUACUAGCGAUUGCAAAGAAGUAGCGACACUGUAUCACGACCAAAUUGAAACUAGAACUUAGGAAACUCGAUCAAAUACAAUAGAACAUGUCAUGACCUUUUGCUGGCUUAUGCAAAAAUAUGAUCAGUUCAUGGACAUGUGUGUAGUGAUUUUGGUCUGCACACGUAAAAACGCGCAAGUUGUUAAUUAAAGUCGUUGCCAUUAGGGAGUUUAAGAUCCUGACGACGAACUACCGACUACGUUUGAAAUAGUUUUUGUUAUAUAUAUGCAAAUACUAAAUAUUUGUCAUAACAAAUUUAUCCCAAAUGUGUUUUAUGUGCAUGGUUUUGUGUUCGGUAAGUUUCAUCUUUAAUUUUCAUCAUGCAUUUCUUUAUAAAAAUACUCUCCAACCUGCAACGUUGCGUAGUCAGUUGAUUCUGUUUUACAACACAAGAAUGUGAUUUUACGCUGUAACCAAGGUCGCUACGGUGAAAAGUAUGCUCUGGGGAUAUGUACAUUUUGGUCUGCCUUUGUUAAAUCAGUGCGAAAACAAGAGUUCAACCGUACUCCGUGCCUGUUGUUGGCAUCUUAAACUCCCUAAUAAGAUGUAUUCGCACUUGUUCCCAGUGGUUGUGUUACAAGGUUGAUUACAAGGUAAAAGACUUGUUAUACAAGUUGUUCCAACAAGACUAAUACAAGCUGUUCGUAACAAGUUGCUACGAGCUCGUUGUGCACACGAUAUCAGACUUGUUGGAAUAACUUGCUGCGAGUCUGUUGGCCUCAUCAACCUUGUGACAAGAUGGUAACAACUUGUUCCUAGCAGUGCGAACAUAUCUUGUUGACAAGCUGUAAGCUUUUUACGCGUGUAAUUACCAAUUCAUCGCAUUGUAUAAUAAUAGUUCAUUUAAGGACUGGGUUUACAGUAUCAAAAUUUAUGUGAUCACAGUAGCAAUUUUGCAUAGGUAAAUUCUACGUUUUGAAGUAUUUCAGGAACUGGCUUAGUGUUACACAAUGAGUCAGCUCCCUCAAACAUUUCUUACAAAUCCUUCAAAACUUGGAAUUCCCCAUUUUCCCUAUGCAAAUUUCCUACUGCAGGGCUGCAAAUUACUGUCGGACAUCGGACAAUGUCCGACUAAAUUUGGCAAAUGUCCGAGCAAAAGUAAUUUUGAACGGACAUUGGUCAGAUCACAAAAAAAAUUGUCACAUUAUACAUUUUUUUGCUGUGACAAAAUUCGAUUGCAAAUUCACUCAAUUUGCAUUUUGCAAUAAAAUUUACGAGGCAUUCUAGCAUUUUACUUUAACGUUGCGCCGAAAUGGCUAUACAUACUUGUCUUGUAACUUAGCCUAUAUAUAUCUUAAUUUAGUGGUGUUGGUUUUUGUCCGACCAAAUUCAAGUUAUGUCCACCAAAAUUAAAAGUGAUCGGACAAAUGUCCUGUCAAGUCAAAUAUUUAUUUGCAGCC